rnacentral:ncRNA from 1 species
AACGUCGUGAGACAGUUCGGUCCCUAUCUGUCGCGGGCGCAGGAAGUUUGAGGAGAGCUGUCCUUAGUACGAGAGGACCGGGAUGGACGCACCGCUGGUGCACCAGUUGUCACGCCAGUGGCACAGCUGGGUAGCUAUGUGCGGAAGGGAUAAGCGCUGAAAGCAUCUAAGCGUGAAGCCCCCUCCAAGAUGAGACUUCCCACAGCGUUAAGCUGGUAAGACCCCUCAUAGACGAUGAGGUUGAUAGGUUCGGUGUGGAAGCGCGGCAACGCGUGGAGCUGACGAAUACUAAUCGGUCGAGGACUUAUCCAC